rnacentral:rRNA from 1 species
CCUACGGGCGGCUGCAGUGGGGAAUAUUGCACAAUGGGCGCAAGCCUGAUGCAGCCAUGCCGCGUGUGUGAAGAAGGCCUUCGGGUUGUAAAGCACUUUCAGCGGGGAGGAAGGCGUUAAGGUUAAUAACCCUGGCGAUUGACGUUACCCGCAGAAGAAGCACCGGCUAACUCCGUGCCAGCAGCCGCGGUAAUACGGAGGGUGCAAGCGUUAAUCGGAAUUACUGGGCGUAAAGCGCACGCAGGCGGUCUGUCAAGUCGGAUGUGAAAUCCCCGGGCUCAACCUGGGAACUGCAUUCGAAACUGGCAGGCUAGAGUCUUGUAGAGGGGGGUAGAAUUCCAGGUGUAGCGGUGAAAUGCGUAGAGAUCUGGAGGAAUACCGGUGGCGAAGGCGGCCCCCUGGACAAAGACUGACGCUCAGGUGCGAAAGCGUGGGGAGCAAACAGGAUUAGAUACCCCUGUAGUC